UUUCUUUCUUGUUUUCUCGUGAUCUCGACAUAACAGAAGUCGUUUUCUCGUGAUCUCUACAUAUAAAAGUUAUUUUCUCGUGAUAUAGAUGUAAAAAAAAGUCGUUUUCUCAUGAUCUCGACAUAACAAAAGUCAUUUUUUCGUGAUCUCUACAUAUAAAAGUUAUUUUCUCGUGAUAUAACAAAAGUCGUUUUCUCGUGAUCUCGAUAUAAAAAAGUAAUUUUGUCGUGAUCUCGACUUAAUUUUUCUGUGAACUCGACAUAGCAACAUGUUUUUAUUGUUCUGGAGGCAGUAAAAGCUUAGCGCAAUCCUGCAAAUUCAAAUUCAAUAAAAAAAUGUUUUCUUGUGAUCUCGAUAAAAAAGUCGUUUUCGCGUGAUCUCGAUAUAAAAGUCGUUUUCUCAUGAUCUUGACUUAAUUUUUCUGUGAAUUCGACAUAACAGCAUGUUGUUUUUAUUGUUCUGGAGACACCGAAAGCUUAGCGCAAUCCUACAAAUUCAAAUUUAGAACAAAUUCGUUUUUACUUUGCUCAGAGACUCGCUCAAGCUGAAACAGCUCUGCGUCUGUCGGUGGUUGAUAACGUCCACGUUAGUGUCCGACACUUGAGAAGGAGGUUGUCUGGUUCACACUCCUCUCUGUCUUAAUGUGGAGAUAAAGUCCAUCUCUACAGCGUGCAGUUAAUAGGUUUAUGAAGGCGAUGGCUGCCUCGCUGCUCCGGGGCUGGGGGUUCGAUUCUCUCCUCCGCCCUGUGUGGAGUUUGCAUGUUCUCCCUGUGCCUUGGGGGUUUUCUCCGGGUACUCCGGUUUCCUCCCCUAAGGUAGAACCAUCUGUGCCCACCAGGACCGUGGCCUGGACUGUGCCCACCAGGCAUCCCCCGAUCGGGCAGGAACAUACCGCGUGUCAAGCCUUGGGAUCCAGAGAGACGUGACUUUUACAGCUGGCCAAAUGUGUGGAGAUUGUGUUAUCACCAAAAGUGGCCUGCCUUUAAAAAGAAUAAAGAACGAAAAAAAAAAUCCUUGACGUUAUUUUUAACAAAAAAUGGAAGGGUAAUGAGGUUUUUGAACCCCAACUUUGUGGUAAUUUUAUAGUUUGAAUUACAGUUUUUAAAAAUUAGUUGCUCUUGUUGUUCUGCAUCUUGAUGCUGCUACACACGGCCACAUGUACAAUAGGCCACGUGUCUGUUCUAAUGAUAGUCAAACGUGGUGUGAAUAGUAAUCACGGAAGGUGCGCAUCAAUACACACUCAUGGUGGUGCAGAUUUAACAAUAACAAAAUUAGCAAGAACAAACGAUUAACUAGAAGAGAAAGAGGACGAGUGUGACGAAGCGGGGACCUUUUCACGGGGCCAGGGGAUCUCAAAAAAAUUCACAGUCCCCCUCAGUACAAAUUAUUUUUAUAAUCAAACUAUAUAAAAAAUCAGCUCCAGGGUCACAGCUCCAGGGUCCUGGGUUCAAUCCUGAGCUCGGGUUACUGUCUGUGCGGAAUUUUGCAUAUUCUCGCCAUGUUUGUUUGGGUUUCCUCUGGGUUCUCAUGCAAGUAAAUGGAUUGGCUAUGCUAAAUUGCCCAUAGGUAUGAAUGAGUGUGUGUAUGACUGUGUGCGGAUGUUUGUGUGGAUGGACUGGCAUCCCAUCGGAGGCGAAUCACGAGAUCGGCCCACCCGUAGCCCACCCGCAAGCCACACCACUUUGGGAAAAACCUACCACAAGAUCAGAUCCACUGCAGGUUACCAUGGAAACGAGGUUCAAAAUAUUGAAAUAUUGAAUGAACAUUUUCCAUUAAAUAAAUUUUUUCCAGUCCUGUCAAGUAGGAAAUGGACACAAAUGAUCUCACACUCUUUUGUUCUUGUACGUUUUGAUUUUUUUCAUCUGUUUAAACUCAAAUUCAUUUUACCCCAUAGACUCUUUUAAGAGACACGCACUGAGAUUUCCCAAAAAAGCAGAAGGUCAGUGUUGUAAACGCAAGCAGUAGGCUAUGUAAAUAAGGCCCUUCUUUUUUAAGGGAAACACACAUUUCUGCGUCCCCUCAUUCACCCUGCUCACUGCCUCUGGUUGCUGAGAGACCUUCCUCAUUUUGAGAAAAUCUGCUUGUAAACAAGUCCAUGCAUGUGUCAGGGUUGCCAGGUCCACCAGUAAUUGGCCGCUUUCCUUGAACCUAGCUAAUGAAUUGUUUAUGUCUGCAGAUCAGGCGUUGCCUUAGAUUAAAUAUAUAAAAUAUUUUUGCAAGCUGGAGCUGGAGUGUUUUUAAUGCAAAUAACUGAAGGCAUAGUCUAUUAGUUAUUACACAGAAUGUGGGUGAAAUGUAUAGGUGAAAUGGUGUGUUGGAGAAAUAGAAAUAAUGUAUUGUAACUAUUAGAUUCAUUUAAAAUUAAAUGAUGAACUACAUUUACUGUAUAAAUGUAGUCAUGUGAAGAGGGGUCAGUGAAUAGGUUUACUCAUUCCCAGUUCAAUUCAGUGUUAUUUGUGUAGCACUUUUACACACAAUGGCCUUCAUUUAUCAAUCUUUUAGUAGUAAAGUGGUGUGUAAAUGUUUGUGUAAAUCAAACCGAGCUAAAAUUUUCUGCCAGAUUUACAAAGGUUUUGGAAACGCUGAUUUUCUUUGUACUCGCGUGUGUAUGUUGAUCAGCUGUAAAGUACGAAGCACGCUCCCAACACAGCUCAUUUGCAUAUCCUGACGCCCACAAAACCCCAUAAAAGGUAUAAAGCACAGACAGCUGGGAGCACGAAAUGAGCGAUCAGAGUAAAGGCUGAAAGACAGAAGUGGAAGUUAUUUUGACUCGCUUCUAUACCAAUAAAAUAUUUAAUAUAAUAUUAAUCCUCCGUCAGCCGAGGCGUUUGUUUACGGCUUACGGCUCUGCGCAGACAGACCGACUCCGUUUAUACACCGCCAUUUCUUUAGUCAUAAUUGAAUGAUUCGUUUUAUUUGUCUUCAUUUAUGGGUUUGUGUCAGCUCGCUUUCUUUAUUUUUCAUGUUCUUUAAUUAAUGCCAAUAAAAUAAAAUGACUGGUUUUCAGAAAAUGCUCUCAAUGGCACUUUUAGUCCCUGACUGAGUGACCUAGCAUGAGGAUGUGUUUUUGAUAGACUCCAAAGUUCUUUUAUAAGUCACUCUGGAUAAGGGCGUCUGCUAAACACUGUAAACCUAAUAAAAAUAAGCAAUUUGAACUCGACAGUAUAUUCCAGAUAUAAAAGUGCAGUAAUCUACGCCGAUUACGAUUGAAGUCGAACAAGUCGAGGUUUACAAUAGUUAGUCUUUUUAUGUGUAAAUUUGCACACACUCAGGAGAACAAGUAGGAUACAAAAGUUUUUCUGAAAUUACAGGAUUUUCAUGAAGCCCAAAUUUCUUGUGUAAACACUCAUAUAAAUGAAUCAGUUCGUAUCCAGCUUGGUAAAUGAGGCCCAU